rnacentral:lncRNA from 1 species
UAAAAAAAUUUGAUUCUCGAGGCCAAAUAUAUAUAAUCAGAUUCAAAGUGUUGGAGAGACAUAAAUCAAGUCGGGUAUUACGCAGUUCGAUAAAACUUCACUCCUUUCUAUAAAAGAACUCUACUAAUUCAAGUUCAUGAAACACGACCAAAUGCGCAAUUUUGUCAUACAAACCGUUUGACCUCGUCCCUAUAGAAGGUUAUCGUUUCACUAUCGCCCUCUUAUGGUAGGAAUGCGAGUUACGCGACAGCGCUUCACCCGAAGUUGGGGGGAAAAUAGCGCUAAACAUAGAAUCAGCUGGACUUGUAACUUCUACAUACGUACCCGUUCAUCACAACAAUCCUGGCAAAGUAUCUACGCAUUCUUGGAUAGUAAAUACCAGAAAUCUGCCAAUUCGAAUAAUUCAAAAGCUUUGGAGACUUUUUCUUUCUUUCUUUAAUGUUUAAUGACUCAAGCUCGAUUUUAUAGCAUUCCUUGUUCCUUAUUAGUGUUCUAAAUUCCAAAAUUUUAGAAUUGAUGCUAUUACUCUACUUUUCACGUAUUGUUAUU